GCGGUUAAAAAGCUCGUAGUUGGAUUUCUGUUGAGGUCGGGCGGUGUGCACCUCGUGCAUUAUUUGCUUCGGUCUCGGCAUCCUCCUGGGGAACGUUUAGGACUUUAUUGGACUAGGCGAGAUUCAGGACUUUUACUUUGAGGAAAUUAGAGUGUUCACGGCAAGCAAGCGCGGGAAUACAUUAGUAUGGAAUAAUAAUAUAGGACCUUCGUUCUAUUUUGUUGGUUUCUAGAACUUAGGUAAUGAUUAAUAGGGACAAUUGGGGGCAUUCGUAUUAACGCGUCAGAGGUGGAAUUCUUGGAUUGCGUUACGACGAACUACUGCGAAAGCAUUUGCCAAAGAUGUUUUCAUUGAUCAAGAACGAAAGUAUGGGGAUCGAAGACGCUUAGAUACCGUCGUAGUCUAUACCAUAAACUAUGCCAACUAGAGAUCGGUGGGGUUAUCCUAUGUGGCUCCAUCGGCAUCUUGUGAGAAAUCAAAGUUUUUGGGUUCCGGGGGGAGUAUGGCCGCAAGGCUGAAACUUAAAGGAAUUGAGGGAAGGGCACCACCAGGAGUGGAGCCUGCGGCUUAAUUUGACUCAACACGGGAAAACUCACCACGUCCAGACAUA
rnacentral:rRNA from 1 species